rnacentral:rRNA from 1 species
GACGAACGCUGGCGGCGUGCUUAACACAUGCAAGUCGAACGGAAAGGCCUGCUUUCCCUUGUGGAUUGCGGGUACUCGAGUGGCGAACGGGUGCGUAACACGUGAGUGAUCUGCCCCCAAAUUGGGUAUAAGCAUGGGAGACUAGGUCUAAUUCCCGAUAGGACUGCAGGGUGGUGCCUGUGGUGGAAAACGUUUUUCUAGUGGUUGGGGAUGAGCUCGCGGCCUAUCUGCUUGUUGGUGGGGUAAUGGACUACAAAGGCGGCGACGGGUAGCCGGCCUGGGAGGGGGGACGGCCACAUUGGGACUGGGAUACGGCCCAGACUGCUACGGGAGGCAGGAGUGGGGAAGAUAUGAGCAUGGGCGGAAGCCUGAUGCGGCGACUCAGCGUGGGAGAUGACGGCCUUCGGGUUGUAAACUCCUUUCGACCGCGAGGAAGCCACCUGGUUGGAAGGGUGGUGACGGUAGUGGUAGAAGAAGCACCGGCUAACUACGUG